CUACGGGCCGCAGCAGUGAGGAAUAUUGCACAAUGGGGGGAACCCUGAUGCAACAACGCCGCGUGGAGGAUGACGCAUUUCGGUGUGUAAACUCCUUUUAUAUGUCAAGAAAAUGACGGUAGCAUAUGAAUAAGCACCGGCUAACUCCGUGCCAGCAGCCGCGGUAAUACGGAGGGUGCAAGCGUUACUCGGAAUCACUGGGCGUAAAGGACGCGUAGGCGGGUUGGAAAGUCAGGUGUGAAAUCCUACAGCUUAACUGUAGAACUGCACUUGAAACUUCUAAUCUAGAGUAUGGGAGGGGGAGAUGGAAUUAGUGGUGUAGGGGUAAAAUCCGUAGAUAUCACUAGGAAUACCUAAAGCGAAGGCGAUCUCCUGGAACAUUACUGACGCUAAGGCGUGAAAGCGUGGGAAGCAAACAGGAUUAGAUACCCCCGUAGUC
rnacentral:rRNA from 1 species